GAUGAACGCUGGCGGCGUGCCUAAUACAUGCAAGUCGAGCGAACGGACGAGAAGCUUGCUUCUCUGAUGUUAGCGGCGGACGGGUGAGUAACACGUGGAUAACCUACCUAUAAGACUGGGAUAACUUCGGGAAACCGGAGCUAAUACCGGAUGAUAUUUUGAACCGCAUGGUUCAAAAGUGAAAGACGGUCUUGCUGUCACUUAUAGAUGGUUCCGCGCUGCAUUAGCUAGUUGGUAAGGUAACGGCUUACCAAGGCAACGAUGCAUAGCCGACCUGAGAGGGGGAUCGGCCACACUGGAACUGAGACACGGUCAAGACUCCUACGGGAGGCAGCAGUAGGGAAUCUGCCGCAAUGGGCGAAAGCCUGACGGAGCAACGCCGCGUGAGUGAUGAAGGUCUUCGGAGCGUAAAACUCUGUUAUUAGGGAAGAACAGAUGUGGAAGGAACUGUGCACAGCUUGACGGUACCGAAUCAGAAAGCCACGGCUAACUACGUG
rnacentral:rRNA from 1 species